rnacentral:lncRNA from 1 species
UCCAUCUUCGGUCAAAACUUAGACGUGGCGAUUCAUUUUCCUUGAUGUAGCGUACACGUCAACACACAAGAUAACGAUCUCCUUCUCCACCAUCUUCACGUGUGUGUUUUUUUUCCCAGCAAACAUGCAAUCGAACUAAAUGGAGAGUGUGUCUCACGCGCGUAAUUCAGCACAUGACACAUAACUCUUGGUGGAGUCUGCUUUCGUACCAUUGAGGCUCCUAAUAAUAAAAAACGUUACUCGUUGAUGGGUACGACCAAAAUUUGCAAAAGUAAAUGCACAAGAACAAAUCGGAAAUAGUGACAAGUGAAAAUAAAAAAGAAACAGUAACAUUUUACACCAAUCACACAAAUAACGUAAUCAGAAAUUAUCUCACUUUGAGAAGAAGACUUUGGGCAAACAUUCUCUCUUAAGACGAGAUACGACCGCCGUCGCCGGGAAGUGACGUCACCAAAAAGCUGUCAAUGGGUGCCACAGACCCCGUACGAUUACUCAACUCGAUUCCUGCAUUUUCGUUAC